rnacentral:rRNA from 1 species
AGUGAACGCUGGCGGCGUGCCUAAUACAUGCAAGUCGAACGAUGAAGCCUUUAGCUUGCUAGAGGUGGAUUAGUGGCGCACGGGUGAGUAACGCAUAGGUAAUAUGCCCCAUAGUCUGGGAUAGCCACUGGAAACGGUGAUUAAUACUAGAUACUCCCUACGGGGGAAAGUUUUUCGCUAUGGGAUUAGCCUAUGUCCUAUCAGUUUGUUGGUGAGGUAAUGGCUCACCAAGGCUAUGACGGGUAUCCGGCCUGAGAGGGUGAACGGACACACUGGAACUGAGACACGGUCCAGACUCCUACGGGAGGCAGCAGUAGGGAAUAUUGCUCAAUGGGGGAAACCCUGAAGCAGCAACGCCGCGUGGAGGAUGAAGGUUUUAGGAUUGUAAACUCCUUUUGUUAGAGAAGAUUAUGACGGUAUCUAACGAAUAAGCACCGGCUAACUCCGUGCCAGCAGCCGCGGUAAUACGGAGGGUGCAAGCGUUACUCGGAAUCACUGGGCGUAAAGAGUGCGCAGGCGGGAUAGCAAGUCAGAUGUGAAAUGCUAUGGCUUAACCAUAGAACUGCAUUUGAAACUGCUAUUCUAGAGUGUGGGAGAGGUAGGUGGAAUUCUUGGUGUAGGGGUAAAAUCCGUAGAGAUCAAGAGGAAUACUCAUUGCGAAGGCGACCUACUGGAACAUUACUGACGCUCAUGCACGAAAGCGUGGGGAGCAAACAGGAUUAGAUACCCUGGUAGUCCACGCCCUAAACGAUGAAUGCUAGUUGUUGCCCUGCUUGACAGGGCAGUAAUGCAGCUAACGCAUUAAGCAUUCCGCCUGGGGAGUACGGUCGCAAGAUUAAAACUCAAAGGAAUAGACGGGGACCCGCACAAGCGGUGGAGCAUGUGGUUUAAUUCGAAGAUACGCGAAGAACCUUACCUAGGCUUGACAUUGAUAGAAUCUGCUAGAGAUAGUGGAGUGCUGGCUUGCCAGAGCUUGAAAACAGGUGCUGCACGGCUGUCGUCAGCUCGUGUCGUGAGAUGUUGGGUUAAGUCCCGCAACGAGCGCAACCCUCGUCCUUAGUUGCUAGCAGUUCGGCUGAGCACUCUAGGGAGACUGCCUUCGUAAGGAGGAGGAAGGUGAGGACGACGUCAAGUCAUCAUGGCCCUUACGCCUAGGGCUACACACGUGCUACAAUGGGGCGCACAAAGAGAUGCAAUAUCGCGAGAUGGAGCAAAUCUCCAAAACGCCUCUCAGUUCGGAUUGUAGUCUGCAACUCGACUACAUGAAGCUGGAAUCGCUAGUAAUCGCAAAUCAGCAAUGUUGCGGUGAAUACGUUCCCGGGUCUUGUACUCACCGCCCGUCACACCAUGGGAGUUGUAUUCGCCUUAAGUCGGGAUACUAAAUUGGUUACCGCCCACGGCGGAUGCAGCGACUGGGGUGAAGUCGUAACAAGGUAACCGUAGGNGAACCUGC